AAAAAAAAAAAAUAGAAGUGCAGAUUUUUUUUCUUCAUUCUUCAUUCUCUAACUUCUCUCUACUUUCUCUCUCAUUUUCCUUUACUUUCUUGGAGGCCAAACACCACACCUUUGCUCCACCCUUACACCACCACCUUGACCCACCAUCUCCACCACCUCCGGCCACCUUAUCUCGCCGGAAAAAAGGGGUCCGGUCGGCACUCCUUGAAUCCAUCCGAAAAUAACACAAUAGAAGCACCAACUCUAGAUUUUUUCUUAAUCUUUUGAAGAAUCAAAGCAUGGGAUUUAUUUUCUUGAUGGAUUAGAGGCUUGUAAUUGGAUUGGAGGAAGGCAUCUCUACACCUCUUGGAAAUUAAUUUGUAUAGUUUCAAAUCUACACUUUUGCUAUUUUUGGAGAUUCAUAGACUUUUGUGUGGCUCGCCUCAACUUGGAAGACUAGAAUUUUUGAAGGAUCACAGGUGGGCAUCUUGUGGUUGAGGUUUUGCUUAGGGUCAUUCUAGGACGUAAGCUUACCCUUUUUUUUUUAUGAAGGAGGUUGAUUGUAAAAAUUGCUUAUGAAGUUGGAUGUAUUGAUGGAUUCGUGAUUAGUAUGUAUUACAUUUUU